UAUUAUAUACAUUCCUACAACAUAGCGUUAUCGAAUCUCAUUAGAACUCCACGGUUAAGCGUGCUUGGGAUAGAGUAGUACUGGGAUAGGUGACCACCUAGAAAGUCAUAGUAUUUUACAU
rnacentral:rRNA from 1 species